AACGCGAAGAACCUUACCUGGGUUUGACAUGCGGGGAAAAGCCGUAGAGAUACGGUGUCCUUCGGGGCCCCGCACAGGUGGUGCAUGGCUGUCGUCAGCUCGUGUCGUGAGAUGUUGGGUUAAGUCCCGCAACGAGCGCAACCCUUGUCCUAUGUUGCCAGCGGGUAAUGCCGGGGACUCGUAGGAGACUGCCGGGGUCAACUCGGAGGAAGGUGGGGAUGACGUCAAGUCUUCAUGCCCCUUACGUCCAGGGCUGCAAACAUGCUACAAUGGCCGGUACAAAGGGCUGCUAUCCCGCGAGGGUGAGCGAAUCCCAAAAAGCCGGUCUCAGUUCGGAUUGGAGUCUGCAACUCGACUCCAUGAAGUCGGAGUCGCUAGUAAUCCCGGAUCAGCUACGCCGGGUGAAUACGUUCCCGGGCCUUGUACACACCGUAGUAC
rnacentral:rRNA from 1 species